GUAAUUUCACAGACAUCAAUGUGUGUUCCUGCCCAGAGUAUAACUACACAGGAGGAAGAUGUCAGCCAGGCACAUACUGCCCCAGUGGUUCAUCAGCUCCUGUACAAUGUACUUCCGGGUCCUACUGUGACAACUAUGAGCUGCCAACUCCCACAGGUCUCUGUUCAGCUGGUUACUACUGUCCUGGUGGUAACAAGGUACAGAAUCCAACACAAUAUUUGUGUACCGAGGGCGCAUACUGUGAACAAGGAUCGCCUCUGCCAACACCUUGUCCAAACGGGACUUUCUCCAACACCACUGGGAAUGUGGAGCUGGCAAAUUGUCUGAAUUGUACUCCAGGUUACUACUGUAAUGGUGUAGGACUGACCAGCGUGUCUGGACCUUGUGCCGAUGGUUUCUACUGUCCAGGUGGCCAAAGUACAGCCACACCAGAUGAGUUCAGAUGUCCACAAGGAUCAGAAUGUCCAUCUG